AGUGAACGCUGGCGGCGUGCCUAAUACAUGCAAGUCGAACGGAGUGGCGCACGUGUGAGUAAUAUAUCGCUAAUCUGCCCCUUGCUGGAGGACAACAGUUAGAAAUGACUGCUAAUACUCCAUAGCAAGGGAUGAGACUAUAUCGUAUCAGCUGGUCGGUGGGGUAACGGCCUACCGAGGCUAUGACGCGUAACUGGUCUGAGAGGAUGAUCAGGCACAGUGGAACUGAGACACGGUACAAACUCCUACGGGAGGAAGCAGUAGGGAAGAUUGAGCAAUGGGGGAAACCCUGAGGAAGCAAGGCCGCGUGGAGGAUGACACUGUUCGGAGCGUAAACUCCUUUUGUUAGGGAAGCGGUACCUAACGAAUAAGCACCGGCUAACUCCGUGCCAGCAGCCGCGGUAAUUC
rnacentral:rRNA from 1 species